AACAUCGCGCACCUGCGGGAACCUGCGGAGGGAUCAUUACAGAGUUGCAAAACUCCCUAAGCCAUUGUGAACGUUACCUAAACCGUUGCUUCGGCGGGCGGCCCGGGUCCUUCCCGGCGCCCCUCGGCCCUCGCGGGCGCCCGCCGGAGGUAAACCAAACUAUUGCAUUGUAUGGCCUCUCUGAGUCUUCUGUACUGAAUAAGUCAAAACUUUCAGCAAUGGAUCUCAGAUCGGAAGAGC
rnacentral:misc_RNA from 1 species